UGUUUUAAUAUUUGAUGAACUUUAUACACUAUAAAUUGAUAUAAUUGUAUUCUAUUUGUCAUAUACAAAAAGAAAUAAAAUAUGAAUAAAAAUCUUAAGUUAGCUCCCGCAAUAAUUUUAUUUGUUUUCCUAUUUUUUGUUACAGGGGAGGUUGACCACUGGAUAAUUAAUGAUGUGCGUCCAACAGCUACCGAAUGUACAUCCUCUAAAGAUUGUCCUGAUUUUGAAAUAGAACCCAAACUCUUCAUUUCUGUGUGCGAUAAGGGCUAUUGUCUAAACAAAUUUAAUCAUGAUCCACUAUAGGCAACAUGAACUUUCUACGUGCAUUGAUGGCUAUCGUUAAUAAGAGUGGGUAUCAAAUUCAAGAGAGUAGAUAAUCUCUUCAAUAAUUGUGUUACCACUGAAUAAUUUUAUUUUUAGCUUUCAAUUCGUAAUUUUACCUUUAAACUAUAGCUUUGUAUUGUAAACAUAAAAGAAAUAAGACACUAAAUAUUAUAGUUAAAUUGUCUUCUAUCUUGAUUUUAUGUUUCA